CCAGUGUAUAAACUGGGGAGAGUUACCAGAAAGAGAAGGAUUGCUGCUGGGUCAGCUGGUGAUCUAUCUGAGGCCAUUUAAGGGCUGUUUGCUUUUAGAUGAAGGAUUACCUAUUAAAUCUGAAAGACAUUGCAAGCUGAAUAAACACCACCUUGUAAGAUUCAUCUGACAUUACAUUAUAUGAUGCUGAAGAAUCAUGUCAGAGAGGUCUUGUUUAUAUGUAUACAUUACUGUACAUAACAUACAGGCAAGGGUAAAAACAUCUAGUGGUGUAUAAUGUAGAUCACCACUGGAAAGCAGGCUUUUCUUCACCUCAGCUGCUUUUAACUGAAAGCAGAUGCUACAGAACAGAAGAUGAAUAUAAGAAGCAGCGAUUUCAGUACAGUCAGGUUGUUGAGCAGGGUUCUUGCAUCAAGGACUGUGGGACUUCUUGGGGACUGUGACACAAAGUAUUCAUUUUAUCUUAAUGACUUUUGUAUUUUCAGAAAGUUUUAUAGUUAGGGAUAUGUUGCAUUUAUUCAGUAAAUUCUCUACUUCAUAUGUGUAAAACAGUGAAGAAUGUCAUGCAGUAUAAAUGAUUUAGUGCAUGCAAUCUCAAAAAAAAAUGCAUGAACAGUCCCAGAAUAAUGGAAAAAAAAAAGGACAAGAGUUAUUGAGUAUUCUAACCAUGCUGUAGUUUGAUCCUGCAUUGAUAGAAUAAGCUGCUAUUGCCACUGGUAAAUGGAAUAUGUAGAAUAAAAAAUUAAAAAAACCCACAAAACCUACCAAAC